rnacentral:piRNA from 1 species
UGAGAUAUUUUGGGCUUUCCUUCCUGAG